GAGUUUGAUCAUGGCUCAGGACGAACGCUGGCGGCGUGCCUAAUACAUGCAAGUCGGGCGGGGUUUUGGGGAGCUUGCUCCUUAAAACCCAGCGGCGGACGGGUGAGUAACACGUGGGCAACCUGCCCGCAAGACCGGGAUAACUCCGGGAAACCGGGGCUAAUACCGGAUAGGACUCCGGAUCGCAUGAUCCGGGGUGGAAAGGUGGCCUUCGGCUGCCGCUUGCGGAUGGGCCCGCGGCGCAUUAGCUAGUUGGUGAGGUAACGGCUCACCAAGGUGACGAUGCGUAGCCGACCUGAGAGGGUGACCGGCCACACUGGGACUGAGACACGGCCCAGACUCCUACGGGAGGCAGCAGUAGGGAAUUUUCCGCAAUGGGCGAAAGCCUGACGGAGCAACGCCGCGUGAGCGAGGACGGCCUUCGGGUUGUAAAGCUCUGUUCCUCGGGAAGAAUGGCGGGAGGGUGAACAGCUCUCUCGUUUGACGGUACCGAAGGAGAAAGCCCCGGCUAACUAC
rnacentral:rRNA from 1 species